GCUAUUAGUCAAAGGUCAGUCAACAAGCACUUAUUCAAUGCCCCCUGUAAUCACACACUGUGCCAACUUCUGGGGAAACAAAGGAAGACAAAAACCAUCCACUCACUCAGUAAUGGAAGAGAAAUCAUGAAAGGAUGAUUGGACCUGUCUGAGAAGUGGCCCAGGAGCAUGAUUCUGGAACAUCUGCUGACUAGGCAGUGCACCUUGGAUUUAUGAAACUGAUGGAAGACUUUGAAAGACCAAAGGAGAUGCUCCAAAGUGUCCAGAUAGAGCCCUGGACUUGGACUCAAGAAAUUGGGCUCACAGACUGACUUCCUGUGACAGAUCUGAGGUGUGUGAUCACAAGCACAUCUUGCCUCACUUCAUAGCCCUGGUGCCCAGGACAGGGCUUGGCAUACAGCAGCCAUCAAUCUAAGCUCAAAAUGGGGUGAUGAGCCAGGUCUUGAAUAUCUCCCAGGCCUUUAGCAAGGAUCAAGGGAUUUUCAGACCUGGAAGGAAUCUCAGAAGCCAUGAUGUGUCUCAUGCAUUUAAAGGAAGACCCUAUAAUAGACUUGACAUUCUUGAAGGCAUCUCAACCUGUCACAAGGCAUUGGGAGGGUUUCUUUAGAGACUAUUGGUGAGACAUGAAGGGUAAAGGGAGUGUGCCUUUGAAGAUCAACCACAGGCAUGCAGCAGUGACCGCUGAGAGUUUGUUGCACAUGGCUAUUAAGAACCUUUCUCCAAAUAGAUGUGCUUAGAAGGUGACAGGGAAUAGAGGCCAACCUGGGGCCUUCCAGACAGAUCUAUGGGCACAAAAAAUUUCCCUGUGACAGGAGACACUAUGAAGCACAAAGGAGAGAAAGAAACCCUAUUUCCUGGGGGUGGGUUGGAUGUCACGGGAUGAGGUUGGCUACUUUUCAGCUCUUGAUUUAGUGGUAGGUUAGACAAAAUCUACCAGAGAUUUUAAAGAUUAUGUCACCUCUGACUACUACCUUUCACAGAAGACCCGAGAUAUGUCCCUGUACCCAUUAGGUUCUUUAUUUUUAUACCUGCUUAUAUCACCUGUUGUUGGCAUGUGGUUCUGGGUAAUUAUCCUGGGAGUCUUCACAAAUUAAUCCUGCUGUCACUUCCCAAAUGCAACAGAUAGGUCAACAGCUAUGAUUAAAUUGUCUGUGUUAAUGAGUGGUUAGCUCACAUAUGAUUAUAGUUUCCUCUCCAAGUUUCUGUAAAGCUAUUUAAAGACAUUUUAUCCACUGAAGUUAUGUACACCUAAUCCUUUGAGGCAUCCUGCAUGUGUGCUUUGGGAUGGGAGUUCUGGUACUGAAGUACUUCAAACCUCUUGACUUAAUGCCCAAGCACCAGGGCUUGAGCCCUGGGAUUCUACUUUUAGUAAGGCUCACACCUUCCUCAAUGGAUUUACUGCAGUUGCCUCCUACCUAGGAGGGUCCUUUUGACCUAGUUCAACUACUGUGAGUCCCUGGAUGAGGCUUUAUCACACACCCAACCUCUUGGCUUUGCAAGACUUCAGUGAAGGGUCAGGAGAGUCAGAGACUGGGGAAGUUGGAAGGCACUUCUCUAGGCACCUAGUCUAGCCUGAGCCUGAAAAGGAGCUGGACUGGAACAUUCCUGAUCAUGGACAACCAGGCUCUGCUUGGAGUCCUCGGAGGAGACAGCCAUCAGUUCUCAAAGAAGCCUAUUCAGUUGGGGGAAGGUUCUCAUUGGGGCUUUUCUAGCAUAGAACCACCCAUAAAGCCCCAUCCUCUUGUCAGUGCUCUUGGUUCUAUCCUCUGAAGCCAAGCAGAGCAAGUCUGAUCCUUGGUCUGCAUGCCAGCCCUCUCCAGCGGCUGAAAACAGACACCAUGGCCCCUGGAUCUUAUGUUCUCCCGACUAAACAUUCCUCCCCUGGCAUGGAUUCCACGCCCAUAUCCAUCCUGAUUGCCUUCUCCGGGUAUUCUCCAGCUUAUUAAUGCCCUCCUGAAAUGUGCCACAGCAAAAACACAAAGCACUAGAUGUGGUUUGACUGUAAUUUUGUCAAUUUUUACUGUAUCUUAUUUUUUAAAUUGUCAGAUUCAUCCCACAAGAUAUCUUUUCCACAUGAGUGAGCCAUCCCUUUUGACAAGGAUUUUUAAAAGAAAAAGAAAGGGGGCGGGGAAAGCAGUUCAUCAAAGUUAACUAAUAGAAUGUGCAAAAUUAGCACAAAAAUAUAACUGAGUUGGCACAUGCACAUUAAGGUAGGAUGCAGAAUGACAGCACAGUUUCUGACUUCUGGGAUGGGCAUGUGGAAGUCCCCCUGUAGGAUACACCUCUGACCUAGUAGUGGGUAGUGUGGCAUGAGUGCCUGGACAUCAGAACACAUGACCCAGACUGCCCAAUCAAAAGCCAACUAGAUGUAAAGGCUCCGGGGAUAUAAGACCAGGGCAAAUUGAAUGGGCCAGGGCAGGUGGGGAAUCUAGCAAUUUGGCUGGAGAUGUUGGGUAGUUAGGCAGCUAAUACCUUCUUCUUCCUCUGUUUUUCUUACUAAUAAAUAAUUAUAAAUUUAGUAUAAAGCCCCCA
ensembl:lncRNA